rnacentral:sRNA from 1 species
UUAGCUGUGAUGAAAUC